UGUCCGGUGGUGUAAUGGUAGCACAAGGCUCUUUGGAGGCUUUGGUCAAGGUUCAAAUCCUUGCCGGACAGCCA
rnacentral:tRNA from 1 species